rnacentral:rRNA from 1 species
CGGGUGCGUAACACGUGAACAACCUGCCCUCGUGUGGGGGAUAGCCAUGCUAACGCGUGGGUAAUACCGCAUACGUUUCCUGAAGGGAGUCCUUUGGGAAGGAAAGCUCCGGCGCACGGGGAGGGGUUCGCGGCCUAUCAGCUAGUUGGCGGGGUAACGGCUCACCAAGGCAACGACGGGUAGCUGGUCUGAGAGGAUGAUCAGCCACAGUUGGGACUGAGACACGGCCAA